UACAUGCAAAUAAUGCGAGUAUCGUAAGAUUCUCGUGCAGUUAUUAGACAAACCAAUCGGUCUUCGGACUGUUUUAUAUGGUGGAACUCUAGAUAACUUUGCUGAUCGUAUGGCCUUGGUGCCGACGACAGAUCUUUCAAAUGUCUGCCCUAUCAACUUUGAUGUUAGUAUAGAGGACUAACAUGGUUGCAACGGGUAACGGGGAAUCAGGGUUCGAUUCCGGAGAGGGAGCCUGAGAAACGGCUACCACAUCUAAGGAAGGCAGCAGGCGCGUAAAUUACCCACUCCCGGCACGGGGAGGUAGUGACGAAAAAUAACAAUAUAGAACUAGUUAACUAUGUUCUGUAAUUGGAAUGAAUCAAGUUUAAAUCCUUUAAUGAGGAUCAAGUGGAGGGCAAGUCUGGUGCCAGCAGCCGCGGUAAUUCCAGCUCCACUAGCGUAUGUUAAAAUUGUUGCGGUUAAAACGUUCGAAGUUGAUUAUUGUCCAGUGCGAGUGUGACAUCAUCAAGAAAUGAUUGUCAUCACUUUCCGGUUACUUGGACUAUUUGACUGAACACUAAAUGAAUAGCAUUGAUGUCUUUCACUAGACUAGAAGUCUAUUUAGUUCGGCUUACUUUUACCUUGAACAAAUUAAAGUGCUCAAAGCAGGCUUCAUAUGCUUGAAUAGUUUUGCAUGGAAUAAUGGAAAAAGACCUCGGUCUUAUUUGUUGCGCGGGUUCGCUCGCGUAAUGAUUUUCUAUUGGUUUGAUACAGAUCAAGAGGUAAUGAUUAAUAGAAGCAGUUGGGGGCAUUAGUAUUACGGCGCGAGAGGUGAAAUUCUUAGACCGUCGUAAGACUAACUAAAGCGAAAGCAUUUGCCAAGGAUGUUUUCAUUAAUCAAGAACGAAGGUUAGAGGAUCGAAGGCGAUUAGAUACCGCCCUAGUUCUAACUGUAAACGAUGACAGCUAGCGAUUGGGUGUCACUACAUAAUGGUGCACUCAGUAGCUUUCCGGGAAACUAAAGCUAGUUUCCGGGGGAAGUAUGGUUGCAAAGUUGAAACUUAAAGAAAUUGACGGAAGAUUACCUCCAGGAAUGGAAUUUGCGGCUUAAUUUGACAACACGGGAAAACUUACCAGGUCCGAACUCAAGUGGGUAUGACAAUUUGAUAGCGUUUUCACGAAUUUGAGGGUAGUGGUGCAUGGCCGUUCUUAGUUCGUGGAUUGAUUUGUCUGGUUAAUUCCGAUAACGAACGAGACUCAAUUAUUUAACUAGAUACCUAUCAGCCGUUGAGAUGCUGAAGUCAUAUGAUGUGGUGUGUCGCAAGGCAUUCCAUGACAUUUGAUCGAGUCUCACCUGAUAGUUUGGCUUUCGAUUUCGGUCGAUAAGCUUUAUCUGCUUAAAUAGACAAAUUGCUUUCAGCAAUAUGAAAUUGAGCAAUAACAGGUCCGUGAUGCCCUUAGAUGUUCUGGGCGGCACGCGAGUUACAAUGAAGC
rnacentral:rRNA from 1 species